GACAGAGGGUGCAAACGUUGUUCGGAAUUACUGGGCGUAAAGCGCGUGUAGGCGGCUAAGUAAGUCGGGCGUGAAAUCCCACGGCUCAACCGUGGAAGUGCACUCGAAACUGCAUUGCUUGAGUACCGGAGAGGGUCGCGGAAUUCCCCAAGUAGAGGUGAAAUUCGUAGAUAUGGGGAGGAACACCGGUGGCGAAGGCGGCGACCUGGACGGAUACUGACGCUGAGACGCGAAAGCGUGGGGAGCAAACAGG
rnacentral:rRNA from 1 species